AUGACCUCGGAUCAGGUAGGGAUACCCGCUGAACUUAAGCAUAUCAAUAAGCGGAGGAAAAGAAACCAACAGGGAUUACCUCAGUAACGGNGAGUGAAGCGG
rnacentral:rRNA from 1 species